GACGAACGCUGGCGGCGUGCCUAACACAUGCAAGUCGAACGGAAAGGCCCGGCUUUUGUGGGGUGCUCGAGUGGCGAACGGGUGAGUAACACGUAAGUAACCUGUCCCUGACCUUGGGAUAUCCUCAGGAAACUGGGGCUAAUACCGCAUAGGAGCUCUUGCUGCAUGGUGGGGGCUGGAAAGUUUCGGUGGUUGGUGAUGGACUGGCGGCUUAUCAGCUUGUUGGUGGGGUAGUGUCUUAGCAAGGCUUGGACGGGUAGCAGGCCUGGGAGGGUGACAGGCUCAAUUGGGACGGGAAUGCGGCCCAGACUCGUACGGGAGGCAGAGGUGGGGAGUGGUGCACUGUGGGCUGGAGGCUGGUGCAGCACAGCCGCGUGGGGGAAGACAGGCUUCGGGUUGUGAACCGAAUUCGCCUGUGACGAAGCGUGAGUGACGGUAAUGGGUAAAGAAGCACCGGCUAACUACGUG
rnacentral:rRNA from 1 species